GCUCCGGUGGCCUAGUGGAUAUUGCGUCCGCCUCAGAUGCGGGAGGCCGUGGGUUCUAACCCCGGCCGAGUCA